rnacentral:lncRNA from 1 species
AAGGGUCUGUGUUUUGCCCGGGGUCCUGAGAGCGUGCUGGGAUAGCAGGGGUGGAGUGCAGGUGUGCCCAUGGGCGCCCCGGGUCCAGGGCCCGCGGAGCCGCUCUCGGGGCGGAGACCUUGCCCCCAGGGGCACGUCAGCGGUCCUGAGGUGAGGCUCCUGCAGAGCACUCUGGGCCGCGUGUGUCUCUCCCUGCGUGGGCAGGCAGUGUCGGUGGCCGGAGCGAGGGUGUUUUCCCAUCGGGGUGAGAGGGAGAGCCCCAGGGUGGGCCUGGGGGCGGAAUCGGACUCGGGGUUGGGGUGGACUCUUCUGAAGCUGGGAGGGGGCGGGUGGGCAGGGCCUUAGGGAGCCUGAGGGAGGCGCGGUUCCUGGGGGAAGGGUGUGGCGAGGCGGCGGCAGCCCGCGUGGCGCUGUGGCGCCCCAGCGAAGGGGCAGUGCUGGCCACUCGUGUGGCCCUUUGGCUGCUGGCACCCAGUGAGAGGGGGAGGCCAGGGACAGGUGGCAGCCAGGCUGCCCACAGGCCCUGGGCGGUGGGGGGCCCGGCCCCUGUGCCUUGGGCAGCCUGGCCCCUUGCUGAGGCGUGCUUGCGCGUGUCCGUUGUCGCCCUCACCCAGCUGCUGCGGCGGAGAGACGGAGGCCAGCGCGGGGAGCGGAAGCCGGAGCCUGUCGGGAGCGACCCCGGGAAGGCCAGUCCCUCCUGCCGGUGGGAGGCGUGUUGGCGUGCGGCCGGUGGCGGGAUCGAUGGCCACCUGGUAGGCGAUGCUGCUGCGGCGGAGAGACGGAGGCCAGCGCGGGGAGCGGAAGCCGGAGCCUGUCGGGAGCGACCCCGGGAAGGCCAGUCCCUCCUGCCGGAGGGAGGCGUGUUGGCGUGCGGCCGGUGGCGGGAUCGAUGGUGGCGAUGGUAAGCGCAGUGGCCUGCGCCAAGGUAGCCCCCGGGGGCUGUGUGGCG